CGAACGCUGGUCGCAGGCCUAAAGAAGCAAGUCGAGCGGCCGUAGCAAUACGGCAGCGGCAGACGUGACAGUAACACGUGGGAACGCGCCCUUCGGUUCGGAAUAACUCAGGGAAACUUGGGCUAAUACCGGAUACGCCCUUACGGGGAAAGAUUUAUUGCCGAAGGAACGGCCCGCGUCCGAUUAGCUUGUUGGUGAGGUAACGGCUCACCAAGGCGACGAUCGGUAGCUGGUCUGAGAGGAUGACCAGCCUCACUGGGACUGAGACACGGCCCAGACUCCUACGGGAGGCAGCAGUGGG
rnacentral:rRNA from 2 species